GUCCCUGUAGCGCUGUGGAUAGCGCGUUGGCCUUGUAAUCCAAAGGUCCCGGAUUCGAAUACCGGCAGGUAUG